rnacentral:rRNA from 1 species
UUGGAGGGCAAGUCUGGUGCCAGCAGCCGCGGUAAUUCCAGCUCCAAUAGCGUAUAUUAAAGUUGUUGCAGUUAAAAAGCUCGUAGUUGAAUUUCGAGAUCAGUACGCUGGUCGUGCCUUCGGUAUGCACUGGUGUCACUGGUUUCUCCCUUCUGAAGAACCGUCAUGUCAUUAAGUUGGUGUGGCGGGGAAUCAGGACUGUUACUUUGAAAAAAUUAGAGUGUUUAAAGCAGGCUCGCGCUUGAAUACAUUAGCAUGGAAUAAUGAAAUAGGACGUUUGACCCUAUUUUGUUGGUUUCUAGGAUCGACGUAAUGAUUAAUAGGGAUAGUUGGGGGCAUUAGUAUUCAAUUGUCAGAGGUGAAAUUCUUGGAUUUAUUGAAGACUAACUACUGCGAAAGCAUUUGCCAAGGAUGUUUUCAUUAAUCAAGAACGAAAGUUAGGGGACCGAAGACGAUCAGAUACCGUCGUAGUCUUAACCAUAAACUAUGCCGACUAGGGAUCGGAUGAUGUUAAUUUUUUAAUGACUCAUUCGGCGCCUUACGGGAACA